rnacentral:misc_RNA from 1 species
CAUAGUUGAACGACCGGGUAUGAAUGGAAAUAUUGACCAUAACUGCAUAAAACUUGGUGUGUGCUCUAUUAUCACAUAUUGACCAUGAAUUUACACAUGCAAGAAACUAGCUGGCUGUGACAAGAGCUGAUCGCGUUAUAAGUGAUUGGAGGCCAUGGAAGGAAACAACAGAAAGAUACAGAUCUUUCCACAUCACAAAUAAAUUAAUCUGCUUAUGGGAAAUAAGUAGAUUUCGCAAGUUAAAAUGAAGAAAGCUGUUGCAUCCAGGCCUCUAGUGUGAAAGCAAGGUCUUAUAAACAAGCAAACUAGGUGGCAAUCCUUAGUUCAUGAACUUUUGCCGGUCCAAGAUGCAUUGGCAUUGAGACAGAGAUUGACAAGAAUGUCAUAAUGGUCAUGAAAUUGUGACUUACAAUAGGGUUAUCAGGAAGUCUAG